GUGAAGGAGGGAGACAAGUCCUCAUGUUUCUCUCCCCCAGUAACAAACCACAUAUAAACCAGGACGCCCCAGUACUGGUAAAGCUAUCUACUGCCUGAUUCCAAACUUCAAAUCCAGUUUUUAUACAUCAAGCGGGUCGUGUCGACGAAACAAUCAAGUGGGAGUGCCUGACUGUGGUGUGUCCGUGAGGAACAUUAGUCCAUAUCACCAAAUACACCAGGGUCCUCUGACAUGACCUGAAGCCUGUUCAUAUCUGAUGCUCUUCCAGAAGAGAAAGUACCACCGCACUGUGGCUGGAGACUUUUUAAGGAAGAAACCCCUACACACCCCCCCACUGUUUGGAAAAGGGUCUCCAGGAUAAUGUUUUGGGGAUGACCUACUGGAAGAGCAGCACCUUGCUGGAACACCCGUGUGACCCCAGAGAACCAUCUUCCGUCACUACCUUUUGUCUCUCUGCAGAGAGCCCCAGGACUUCGAGCAG